UCUUUCUAGUAUUAUAGCUAGUACAAGUGACUUCCAAUCACACAGUCUUGGUUACAGCCCAAGGAAAGAUA
rnacentral:tRNA from 1 species